CGCGGGGUGGAGCAGUUCGGUAGCUCGUCGGGCUCAUAACCCGAAGGCCGUAGGUUCAAAUCCUGCCCCCGCAACCA
rnacentral:tRNA from 1 species